UACGUAGGCAGCGAGCGUUGUUCGGAUGUUACUGGGCGUAAAGGGUGUGUAGGCGGUUGUUUAUUUGGUGUGAAAUCUCCCGGCUCAACUGGGAGGGUGCGCCGAAUACUGAAUGACUUGGAGUGCGGGAGAGGAAAGUGGAAUUCCUGGUGUAGCGGUGAAAUGCGUAGAUAUCAGGAGGAACACCGGUGGUGUAGACGGCUUUCUGGACCGUAACUGACGCUGAGACACGAAAGCGUGGGGAGCAAACAGG
rnacentral:rRNA from 1 species